ACUGAACCUUGGGGGGCGACAACAGAGCGAGGUUGGGAGGAAGAGGCAGAGAAAGAGACACUAAAAGAGCACUGGGUGAGGUAGGAGGAGCACCAGGAGAGAGCAAUAUCUCAUAGACCGAGAUUACGAAGGAUGAGAAGAAGCUGUUUAUGAUUAACAGUAUCAAAAGCAGCGGAAAGGUUAAAGAGAAUUAGGAUAGAGUAGUGACCAUGAGAUUUUGCAGGGAGUAGACUGUUUGAUACUUUGGUCAAACAGUCUCCGUUUCCACAGAGUGCUUAGCGC